GAUGAACGCUGGCGGCGUGCCUAAUACAUGCAAGUCGAGCGAACAGAUAAGGAGCUUGCUCCUUUGCAGUUAGCGGCGGACGGGUGAGUAACACGUGGGUAACCUACCUAUAAGACUGGGAUAACUUCGGGAAACCGGAGCUAAUACCGGAUAACAUUUAGAACCGCAUGGUUCUAAAGUGAAAGAUGGUUUUGCUAUCACUUAUAGAUGGACCCGCGCCGUAUUAGCUAGUUGGUAAGGUAACGGCUUACCAAGGCGACGAUCCGUAGCCGACCUGAGAGGGUGAUCGGCCACACUGGAACUGAGACACGGUCCAGACUCCUACGGGAGGCAGCAGUAGGGAAUCUUCCGCAAUGGGCGAAAGCCUGACGGAGCAACGCCGCGUGAGUGAUGAAGGGUUUCGGCUCGUAAAACUCUGUUAUUAGGGAAGAACAAAUGUGUAAGUAACUGUGCACGUCUUGACGGUACCUAAUCAGAAAGCCACGGCUAACUACGUG
rnacentral:rRNA from 1 species